rnacentral:lncRNA from 1 species
CAAAAUUGAAAAGCCCUUUUACUUUUUAGCUCCUUCCUAGUCCACUUUCAAACUUCUGAAUCCCCUUUUUGAAUUGUAGAACAACAAAGAGACAGAAACACACAUCACAAUCUCUAUCUCUUUUCCCUCCACUCAACUUUCUCUCUGUCUUUUCUUCUCAUUGCUAUUGCUAUGUUCUUUCCACUUUCUGACUAGUUCAAUUUAAAUCCUUUUUGCACCCUUCUGUUUUUCGUACACCCCCUCAAAAGUUUCAUUCCAAAAAGUGAUUUUUAGCAUGAAAGUUUGCAUCUUUGACUAGUUUUUGUGAUCUUCUUCUUCUUUCUGUUAAUGGGUUUGAUCUUCUCUGGUUGAAUUUUGUUUUUUCAGAAAGCUUCAGUUUUGGGCCGUUACAGAAGGAAAAUUUGGUGAAAGUGG